rnacentral:rRNA from 1 species
UACGGAGGGGGCUAGCGUUGUUCGGACUUACUGGGCGUAAAGCGCGCGUCGGCGGACCUGCAAGUCGGGGGUGAAAGCCCGAGGCUCAACCUCGGAACUGCCUUCGAUACUGCGGGUCUCGAGUCCGGGAGAGGUGAGUGGAAUUCCUAGUGUAGAGGUGAAAUUCGUAGAUAUUAGGAAGAACACCAGUGGCGAAGGCGGCUCACUGGCCCGGUACUGACGCUGAGGCGCGAAAGCUUGGGGAGCAAACAGG